ensembl:lincRNA
AUUGCGAAUACAGUACUACUUCAUUAUUCUUAAGCUACAGCAAUUAACAGCCUCCAGUGAAUCAUGAAGACGGCUCUCUUUCUGAUGCUCCUCAUUGGGCUGAGCAUUGCUCUUCCAAUCGAAGAAGAGCAUCGCCGUGUAGCACGGUCUAGCUCCGAAUCUCACGAACGGGUGAGAAUUAUCAGUACUGUCACUAAUCCUACAACAUCUUUAAACGUAACCCAGAUUAUCCAGCUGGUGAAUACCAUAUUAGGUGCACUCGGACGUUAAUAUGGAAGGACAUGAGGCUUCACAAACUCUGGCAGCAACACAAACUCUGUUUCAAGCUGGCUAAAAUCAACAGUCUGCAGGCUUGUUUCUCCUUUCUAGAUUUUGUGUAAAAUUAUUGUUUUCUUUUCAGUGGUUAUGGGGAUGUGCUAUCAUGCAUACAACAUGUAACAAUCAAUAAACUCCUCAAUGCAUAC